AUUGAACGCUGGCGGCAGGCCUAACACAUGCAAGUCGAGCGGAUGAAGGGAGCUUGCUCCUGGAUUCAGCGGCGGACGGGUGAGUAAUGCCUAGGAAUCUGCCUGGUAGUGGGGGAUAACGUCCGGAAACGGGCGCUAAUACCGCAUACGUCCUGAGGGAGAAAGUGGGGGAUCUUCGGACCUCACGCUAUCAGAUGAGCCUAGGUCGGAUUAGCUAGUUGGUGGGGUAAAGGCCUACCAAGGCGACGAUCCGUAACUGGUCUGAGAGGAUGAUCAGUCACACUGGAACUGAGACACGGUCCAGACUCCUACGGGAGGCAGCAGUGGGGAAUAUUGGACAAUGGGCGAAAGCCUGAUCCAGCCAUGCCGCGUGUGUGAAGAAGGUCUUCGGAUUGUAAAGCACUUUUAAUUGGGAGGAAGGGCAGUAAGUUAAUACCUUGCUGUUUUGACGUUACCAACAGAAUAAGCACCGGCUAACUUCGUG
rnacentral:rRNA from 1 species